rnacentral:sRNA from 1 species
UCGCCUCAUGGGCGAGGGGCGGCCGCGC